CAGCCGCCACGGGAAUACGAAGGGUGCAAGCGUUAAUCGGAAUUACUGGGCGUAAAGCGUGCGUAGGCGGUUUGUUAAGUCUGCUGUGAAAUCCCCGGGCUCAACCUGGGAAUGGCAGUGGAUACUGGCAAGCUAGAGUGUGUCAGAGGAUGGUGGAAUUCCCGGUGUAGCGGUGAAAUGCGUAGAGAUCGGGAGGAACAUCAGUGGCGAAGGCGGCCAUCUGGGACAACACUGACGCUGAGGCACGAAAGCGUGGGGAGCAAACAGGAUUAGAUACCCCCGUAGUCCCUGUCUCUUAUAC
rnacentral:rRNA from 1 species